AGCUGGACCUCCUGCCCCCCUCUCCUCGCUCGGCAGCCCCGCGGCGCGGCCGAAAUGUCCUGGGCGAGGAUGACAGCGCGCACACACGCUGGCCAAGGACCCGGGGCGCGUGUGCCCGGCCUUGGUCGGCGGCAGGGGAGAAGACGGGGCUCGCCCCCGGAGGAGCCGCGCCAAGUUCUCUCGCUGCGGGGAGGCUGGGGCUGGCGCUCUCUCGGACCGGGCUAAGACAGCCGCCACCGCCGCUCUGUGAGGGAGCCAGAGGCGAUAGCCUGGACGACUGGCAGAACGCGUGGCUUGCCCGCUCCCUCCGCUCCACAUAUGAUUACCACAAGAGAAAGCCAGGUGUCACUUUUAAAAGAUAUGGUAUGCUGGUAUGCUGUUUUCAGUACAGAAAGCUUAAAUAAGGGUUUUGGCCUGGGAUUCUACUCAGGAUCUGCUUAGUGGACUUUCCUACUGAAUGACAAAUAUGGAGCUCCUUGACUUCUGAUGUUGAUUUGCUCCAGAUUUCAAGAGCACAGAGGGCUUCACUGUAUGCUUCCAGCUGAACUGGGAGGGCAGAGAAUGUGAGGAAAUGUCAUCCAAGACUGGGCUGGGAUUGCAAAAUCAGGCUGCAAUGACAAAUGGCACUCUCAUUUUUUUAAAGGCAUCCUCAAACCGCAAAAACAAUGGCAGUGAUUUGUGAAGGAUAGAAACUAUCAAUAGCAAAUAUUGCCAACUGGCUGUAUGCCUAUGUGGUGCAGGAGUACCCUAUGGAGGGAAUUACAGAGUGGAGCAGCAUGGGUAGCUGCCAUUCCUCCUGCAAGGCUGCCAUAUGCAAGCUUCGGCAUCUCAGCACAGGAAAAUGCAGAAAGGUGUGGCAGUUGUGGUGGAAGGAGUAGUGGAAAUGUUCUUUGCUCUACAGUUUCUUCUGGAUGAAAACAUGAAAUUUCAGCAUCAGACACUGCAGGCAUGAAACUGCCCCAGACUUUUAGCACUUAAGGGCAUGAUCCUAUGCAUGCUGAAACAAACAAACAAACAAACAAAGAUCCGGGAACUCUUAGGGUUUCUCAGCCAGGCAUUCUAAACAAGCCAAGGUUUGUACCCUAAGAAAGGGAAAGGAAGAACAAAGGAAUGUAUUAUUUUCCCCAGAGAGCACUGAAAAGGAAUCUUAUCCAAAGUUGCGGGGAUUAGGUUGAGGUAAUGCAGAUCAAGCACAUAUAACUAGAAAUUUAAAGUUUUCUUUUAAUCUAUAUUGUUAGGAAAAAUGAGCAAAAGCUCUGAAAUAAUAUGGCUACUAAUAGCCUGACACUGCAAGAACAGCUUGAGCCUUAAGGUGGAAUUCACAUUGCAAGUCUGGCUAUCCCAGCUAAUGUGCCUGUCCUGAAAGGUCUUCCCUUGUGGCACAGCUUAGACAUGCAAACGUCUGCCUAUCCUGAAGGUUUUUCUUUUUUCUGUUGUGCAGUCUUAAUCCAUUCAACCCUUUUGUUUUACUCUCAUGUGCAUCUAGCAAAUUGCAUACGUGAUCCUCCCUGGAUCCCAAAUGGAUAGGAUAUAAAAGCAUCUUGUCCAGAUUCCAUCUUUGUAGUUCCUUUGGGGCCUACCUACAUGCCACAUGUAUUUCCUGCAUGUCUGAAUAAACUGUUAAUGUUCUUU